rnacentral:lncRNA from 1 species
CAUGGGGGUGUCUUAUACAUGGAAAAAUACGGUAAUUAAGGACAUGGUUCACUCUCAUUGUGUUUGGUGUUUGGGCAAAGGGUCAGAUUUCAGCACCUACGUAACUGUGAAAUCACUAGAACUUAAAAUUCUUUCAUUUUUAUCUCUGUUGUGCCCAUAUAUGCAUAUAUCUUCCUUCAAAAUUAAAGCUGCCCUCAUUUCAAAACCACACACAGAUCAUCAUCAGAUAUGCAAUGGGGAGAUUCCAUUAUUCAAGACAUUUUCCAUCCACCAUCCACCUCCAUAGGAUCUCCUUUACUUUGUGGGAGGUCUUAAUCAUUUCCUUCAUCAUCGUGUGUAUAUAAGAGUUGCGCAUCGAACCAUUGAUCCAGUUCGGGCACCUGAAAAAGACUGAAGCAAGCUGUAGUCACCAUAAUGCUGUCCAUGUGUUUGAUUUUGCUUUGGUUUGGAAUGUACACCACCAGUCCAAUAGAAAGAAAUAACAUACUGAAGAUCGCGAUUAAGGAGACUCAGGCUUAUAAUGAAAAUACAAUGCAACUGAUGAAAGCAGAUACUGCAAAGCCACAAGUAGAUCUCCCAGUUGACUUAACGAAAGAAUGUGCAAAAAAUAAUCUGAAGAUAUUUUGGAAUUCAUUAAAACAUAUCGAUUUUGGGAACAAUUCUGAAUUAUCUAAUAAUGGUACUAACCUUGUAGAAAGCCUUGGGGUAGUCAUUGAGUCUUGGCCUGAAGCAGAGGGUCAAGGCUGUACAACGUCAAAGGGGACUUUGAAAGAGCUACUGGUAGAUCUCGCCCACUUUCUCAGAGAACUCAGCCACUACCUCAACAUAGGAGCAAAGCCAUAAAUGUAGUUGCUCAAGAGAAACACAACAAAACAAGAGGUUACAUAACAUCUUUCACUGGGUCAAGUUUGGUCCAUUUUCAUUUAUACAUGUUACUCAAGGGCACUCUAUUCUUCUUUUAUUUAUUAAUUUAUUUAUUUAAUUAUUUCUAUUUAUUUAUGUUUUUCCUUAUCUAUUUUAAUGCCUACUGCAGUGGUGCUUCGUAUAACGAGUGCACCGUGGAAUGAUGAAUCCGCACUGCGAUGCGGAUUUCCCCAUCGCUAAUGUGAGGGCAUGCUCACAUUACGAUGGGGGAACAGCUGUUCAGCGGUUCCAAAAUGGCCGCUGGAACACAAAAAAUGGGUGCCGGUACACCCAAGAUGGCCACCGGGACUCUCAAAAUGGCCACUGGUACAACCAAGAUGGCCGCUGGAACACAAAAAUGGCCGCCGGUACACCCAAGAUGGCCACCAGAACACAAAAAAUGGGCACCAGUACACCCAAAAUGGCUGCUGGGAUGCUCAAAAUGGCCACCGGUACACCCAAGAUGGCUGCUGGAACAAGGGAAAACAUUGGAGAACGGUGAGUUUUGGGCCCAUUU